ACGAGCUCCUGCUUGUGCCUGGACGCCGCCCUUGCUCUUGGGGAAGUUUCUACACCUCAUUCCCUCUGGCAAUCUUGAUGCUUGACUGUAAGGAACACAAUUCUUCGACUGUACCUCCCUUCCUCUCGGUGAGAAGGUCUAGCUACUUCUCGAUGCCAGAGAGGGGAUCCUUCAGCUGCUCCAUGACCACAGGCUUCUUCAGGAACACUAAGGCUGUGGCUUCGCCUGGGCUGUUUUAAAGUCUUCUUGUACCAUGGAGAACUGUCAUCUGUGUGUGCACCUCGGAGUUCCACGGAAGCCAUUGAACACUGCUCUGUUGAUCCGCUUGUCCUACAUGUGCUUUCAAGACCUCACUUGGGCUUCAGACAGUGCGAAAGGCAGGUAGUCUUCACUGUACUGGAGCUCAGAAGGACCAUGUGACUCCACCAAGGUUCAGACCCCAGGUUCUCAAUGGUCAGAAAACUAGGUUUCUCAGUUCCAAAAAAGAAAUAAUGGUUUCCCUCCUCCAAUGUCUAGAACCCAAAACAAUGCUCCACCUCCCCCAGUCUGGUGAGAGUGCAGCAGAAUAAACCGUGGCAUUUCACCUUCCUUUCAAGGAAAGGCUCUUCAUCUGCGGAGGACCUGGGUAACACGCUGCAGAAAACACACGCAGUGCCCCUGUGCUGCCAACAAACAGCCAUGAGAAAGGAUGGCCUGGUACUCUGGCAGCUCUACACCUGGCCAUUGAAACCCCUCAGCACAUUCCUGUGCUCAGUAUUAACUGGAACAAAUAUCUGUUGGGAGC